rnacentral:tRNA from 2 species
GUGGCUGUAGCUCAGGGGUAGAGCCCCGGUUUGUGGUACCGGUUGUCGCGGGUUCAAAUCCCGUCAGCCACCCCA